CUUGUUUCAUGCUUGCUUACAUUAUUCAGAAGCAUUUUGCAUCUUCACCUGAAUUGGCUGAAGAGGCAUUGUCCAGACAUCUGUAAAGUAGGGGAAGAUGAACAGACACAUAGAGAUGGAUGGGUGAAGUGAAGUAGAAUAUUACUGAAUAAUCUUCAACCUUGAAUGAGGAAAAUGAGAUACAGGAUGCCUAAUGUUUCAUUGACAUCCAUGAAAAGAGACAUGAAAACAUCCAAAUCUCUCUCAGUGGAAGAAAGUUAAGGGGACCACAUGCAGAACCACAGCUCCACUGAGCAUGGUGACCCUGGCAGGACAACAGGGAUCCCAUCCGUGCACCUGUCCUUGUGUGGCCAGAGGGAGAGGCCGUGCCUCGUGCAUCAAGAAGAAAAUCAUGUUUGGAACUACAUGUUAUACAUUAAAUGUGACACAAGAGAGAUGAAUUAUGCAGUAAAUUCUGUGUGUGCUGAUCAGCACAAAGCCCAAGACACAUUCAGCAGAGUUGCUGUGAAGAUCUGUAAUGAGUUUCAAGUACAUCAUUUCCUGAUGGAGGGAAGCUAUUCUAUAAUGAGUUUGAUAUGA
rnacentral:lncRNA from 1 species